GGAGGGCUCGCAUAGUGGCCGAGUGCGGCGGUCUUGAAAACCGCUAUAGGGAAACCUAUCGAGGGUUCGAAUCCCUCGCCCUCCG
rnacentral:tRNA from 1 species